rnacentral:snRNA from 1 species
GCUCACGUUAGCAGUACAUGUACUAAAAUGGGAGCCGUACAGAGAAGAUUAGCACCGUCCUUUGCAAGAAUAACAUGCAAAUUCAGAAAGUCUCUCAUGUUGAA